AUUGAACGCUGGCGGCAGGCCUAACACAUGCAAGUCGAACGGUAACAGGAAGACGCUUGCUUCUUUGCUGACGAGUGGCGGCCGGGUGAGUAAUGUCUGGGAAACUGCCUGAUGGAGGGGGAUAACUACUGGAAACGGUAGCUAAUACCGCAUAACGUCGCAAGACCAAAGAGGGGGACCUUCGGGCCUCUUGCCAUCGGAUGUGCCCAGAUGGGAUUAGCUAGUAGGUGGGGUAACGGCUCACCUAGGCGACGAUCCCUAGCUGGUCUGAGAGGAUGACCAGCCACACUGGAACUGAGACACGGUCCAGACUCCUACGGGAGGCAGCAGUGGGGAAUAUUGCACAAUGGGCGCAAGCCUGAUGCAGCCAUGCCGCGUGUAUGAAGAAGGCCUUCGGGUUGUAAAGUACUUUCAGCGGGGAGGAAGGGAGUAAAGUUAAUACCUUUGCUCAUUGACGUUACCCGCAGAAGAAGCACCGGCUAACUCCGUG
rnacentral:rRNA from 1 species